rnacentral:rRNA from 1 species
UACGUAGGGUGCAAGCGUUAAUCGGAAUUACUGGGCGUAAAGCGUGCGCAGGCGGUGAUGUAAGACAGUUGUGAAAUCCCCGGGCUCAACCUGGGAACUGCAUCUGUGACUGCAUCGCUGGAGUGCGGCAGAGGGGGAUGGAAUUCCGCGUGUAGCAGUGAAAUGCGUAGAUAUGCGGAGGAACACCGAUGGCGAAGGCAAUCCCCUGGGCCUGCACUGACGCUCAGGCGCGACAGCGUGGGGAGCAAACAGG